UCUGAACCAUCUGACAUGUUGUGGGUAUGUAUGGGCCUGCGCCUUGGAAGAAUGUAGAGGUAUUGCUUUCAAAAUGUGCAUCUGUAUUUGUGAUAUGUUGUAUUGUGAACACAUCAGCUGCCAAGGGGAGUUCAGGGAGGGUGAGUGAGGGUAACUGUUGUUAUAUAUA